AUACACCUGGGGACAGUUAUACGAAUUUCUUUCUAAACAAAUUCAAUGUUUUCAAGCAAGGUAAUGGAACUAAGAUUUGUGUAUAUCGAACGAAUUAUAUCUACAAAAUUAUUUUAUUCACCAACAUUAAUCAAAGAAUAACGAAAGGACGGUAUAUCGUUGGCAUGCGAUUGCAGAAUUUUGAUUGCAACGUAAAAGCAAUGUAUGAAACACUAUUGUUCCAUAACCUGUAUCGAUGAACGUUUUGUAAGCUCCAUACAAAAUAUUUGAAUUGCACAACGUAUCCGGCCAGGGAAAUCUAUUUACGUCGUAAACGGAAAUAUUUUUUUUUCGAAGAUUAUAUUUUUCGAAACAUCAAAAAUGUUGAUCUUCCCUCGCUCGACCUCUGUAAAUUAACUAAGGUAUGAUUAUAUAAGAGUAAUUCUUCAGGAGGUCAUUCGAAAGUCGACGUACUAAUACAUGGCGUACUUUGUUUUUCGAAAGAGAAAUUCUUUAUCACGAUAUUUCUGUUGGAAAAAAGUAUUUCCUUUGAUAUAUUCUCUUAUCGCAACAGAGAUAUUUUAGGUUCCAGCCUUAGAUGAUUCAUCCUGUAUACUGUAUACAACUAUACAGUGGCACGAUGUUCCAAGAAUCGACAAUGCUGUCUCGUCAAACGGACUCGAUGCAGAAAAGGAAUACGAAUAAAGGAAUCGGACGAGUACAAAAUUUUCACCGGAUGGACGUACGAGUGGACGUCGCCGAAUCGGCUACGGAAAAAUAAUCUCAAUGUUCGCGAGGUUGUACGCGGUCCAUUCUCCACGGCAAAAUUAUUAAAAACGCGUCCGUUUUUAACGAUUUCGUCUCGGUACGAGCAAAACGAUCGCGAUUGCUUGCGACGAGGCAUUCCCGACACUUGGAGGGAAUACUUAGCCUCGAGAGGAUGCUGUGGUGCAACGGAGGUACGUGUCCUGCAAAAA